GUCUUGCCUGCCCAGUGACAAUGUUAAACGGCCGCGGUAUUUUGACCGUGCGAAGGUAGCGCAAUCACUUGUCUUUUAAAUGAAGACCUGUAUGAAUGGUGAAACGAGGGCUUAACUGUCUCCCUUUUCUAGUCAAUGAAAUUGAUCUGCCCGUGCAGAAGCGGACAUAAAAAUACAAGACGAGAAGACCCUUUGGAGCUUAAGAUAUAAAGAUCAUCUAUGUCAAUGGGCCCCAACACGGCAACAAACUAAAUAGCAACUGAUCUUAAUCUUCGGUUGGGGCGACCACGGGAGAAAAUAAAGCUCCCACGCGGACUGGGGUAAACCCUAAAACCAAGAAAAACAUUUCUAAGCAACAGAACUUCUGACCAUUAAGAUCCGGCUACACGCCGACCAACGGACCAAGUUACCCUAGGGAUAACAGCGCAAUCCCCUUUCAGAGUCCAUAUCGACAAGGGGGUUUACGACCUCGAUGUUGGAUCAGGACAUCCUAAUGGUGCAGCCGCUAUUAAG
rnacentral:rRNA from 1 species